GGUUAAGUGACUAAGCGUACACGGUGGAUGCCUUGGCAGUCAGAGGCGAUGAAGGACGUAGUAACUUGCGAUAAGCGUAGAUGAGGCAGUAACAGCCACUUGAGUCUACGAUUUCCGAAUGGGGAAACCCACUGGCAUAAGCCAGUAUCAUUGAGUGAAUACAUAGCUCAAUGAAGCGAACCGGGAGAACUGAAACAUCUAAGUACCCCGAGGAAAAGAAAUCAACCGAGAUUCCGAAAGUAGCGGCGAGCGAAAUUGGAUUAGCCCUUAAGCUUUACAUGUGUUAGACGAACGGUCUGGAAAGUCCGACGAUACAGGGUGAUAGUCCCGUAGUUGUAGAUGCAUGUUCAGUGAAAUCGAGUAGGGCGGGACACGUGUUAUCCUGUCUGAAUAUGGGGGGACCAUCCUCCAAGGCUAAAUACUCCUGACUGACCGAUAGUGAACCAGUACCGUGAGGGAAAGGCGAAAAGAACCCCUGUGAGGGGAGUGAAAUAGAACCUGAAACCGUGUACGUACAAGCAGUAGGAGCACCUUCGUGGUGUGACUGCGUACCUUUUGUAUAAUGGGU
rnacentral:rRNA from 1 species